UACCAGAUGCCAACUAAACGGUGCAGAGCUAAGACAACGGAUAAUAUGUCUUCACCAAUUGCAAUAAACCCAUGUCUGAAAAAUACAUGACGGGUA